AUGAUACGCUCUAUCACACAUAAGCCUUAUUAUAUCUUCCUCAAAACAGCCACCAUACCUACCUAUUAUGGCUUUUCCAUGGCCAUUCCGAGAUAUAUUUCCAUGCAACUUCCACCGCUUCCGUUUGAUGACUUGAGCAUUCAUUGUCAUAUUGCUUUGCAUGAUCAUAUAGCUGACAUAGUAGUUGUGGCUCAGCCACCGUUCAUCAUUUUUCAUAUAUGUUACACUAGAUCAUUGCACAUCCUGGUACAUGCCAGAGGCAUUCAUAUAGAGUCAUAUUUUGUCAUAGGUAUCGAGUUGUAA
rnacentral:rRNA from 1 species